rnacentral:misc_RNA from 1 species
GAUGAAGAACGUAGCGAAAUGCGAUAAGUAGUGUGAAUUGCAGAAUUCAGUGAAUCAUCGAAUCUUUGAACGCACAUUGCGCCCUUCGGUAUUCCGUUGGGCAUGCCUGUUCGAGCGUCAUUUAAACCUUCAAGCUAUGCUUGGUGUUGGGGAUCGGCGUGCCCUCGCGGCGCGCCGUCCCCUAAAUCUAGUGGCGGUCUCGCUGUAGCUUCCUCUGCGUAGUAGCAACACUCGCACUGGAUCGCAGCGCGGCCACGCCGUUAAACCCCCCACUUCUGAAAGUUUGACCUCGGAUCAGGUAGGAAUACCCGCUGAACUUAAGCAUAUCAAUAAGCGGAGGA